rnacentral:tRNA from 1 species
AAGGGAGUAGCAGAUUUGGUUCUGUGCAUGGCUUGAAACCAUGAGGUGAGGGUUCAACCCCCUCCUUCCUUG